rnacentral:misc_RNA from 1 species
GAUACAAUCCACGUCAUAAUCCAUAUUGGAUUCCCCAAUUUAUUAAAGAAAAAAGGAGCAAUCGAAGAAUUAGAGAAAGAUCUACAAAAAGAAGUUAAUUCUGUAAACCAGAGACUUAAUAUUGGGAUCGAAAAAGUGAAAGAACCUUAUAGACAACCUAACAUUCUUGCAGAAUAUAUAGCUUUCCAAUUAAAAAAUAGAGU